GAAUAAAAUAUGAUUUUUUGUUUUUUUCCAAAUUCAAGACAUAGGUAUAUGAUUUUUUUAUUUUUUUUUACUGGUGCACAAAAUGAGCCCUGCAUGAAUAUCACCUUGCUCAAUGAACCAAACCAACACGGUGCAUGAACUCACAACAAGUUGCGGUACUACUUUAUUCUGGCCCCUAAAAACUAUUUCAGCCCCAUAAAAGAAUUUCAGCUCCAAAAAAAAUAUUCUACUAUGUUACUAAUUAAAAAUAAAUUUGGAUUUUUGGAGGAAUACAGCAUUGAACAAAUUACAUACCUGCAAAUCAGUGUGACUUCUGCUGUUGUUUUUGGGAGACCAGCUCAGACGUGUGUGGCUUCACCUUGGCAAGUGCUACUCUCAUGUCAUCUUCACAGCAAAGUCUGUUCCUUUUCUUCUAUUUUUGCUCGACAUAUUUAGUAUGGAUUAAAAUAUUAAGAAAUAAACCACACGACAGACAACUAUGACAGCCCUUGACUACUGUGCGCACUAAAUUCCCCGCAGCACUCACUGGCCAAGCAAUGUAAUGUGGUCCUCUGCAGCAAGUGAUGACCAAGAUGUCAUCACUACUUUACGCAAGUGUGUCUUUACUUCCGCGGCAGAGGCUCCGCCGAAUCCCUGAGACCGACUCAUCGAACCCCUGGGGUUCGAUAGGACCCAGGUUAAGAACCACUGAUCUAAAACUACUUCUAUGAACACCAGGUUAUACAAAAAUAAAUAGCUUUAACACCAGGUAUUGUUCACUUGUUAAAAAGAAACUCCUGUCAAAGUUUGCUUCAUUUGCCAUGUUGAAGGAAUGUUUCUCACUUCCGGAUGCAGAAUUUUUCAGAUAUUUUCAAAUUAGAAAUUUUGUUCGAAUUAACAUCUUGAAUUUCUUCUGGAAGAAAAAAAACAAAAAAGAUAUGCAAGCUGCUGUUGGGCUUUCCAGAAUAAAAAGUAUCAAGUUCAAGCUUUGCUGACAUCUUUGCAGAGCAAAUUAACUUUGCCACAAACUCCAUGAGGGCUGCGUGGGAGGAGGAGCUGGGUUUGCAGAUUAGGAGUGAGAUCUGGGAGAUCUUGGGAGGAUUUGGUCAUGCUCUAUUGAUGUAAAGCACCAGUUAAUUCUGUUCAAAGUGUUUCAUAGACUCCACUAUUCUAAGAUGAAACUGUACAGAAUGUUCCCCUCAAUAUCUUCUAAAUGUGAUAAAUGCAAGUCGGCUGAUGGCUCCCUGUCACGUCUGUUCUGGUCAUGAACCGAACUCUUCCAGUAUUGGUGUGACAUUUCCAACUUGUUCUCUGAAGUGUAUAGGUGCACGUUGGUUCCGUGUCUUUAUAGAAAGGUAGUACCGUCCUAAAAUGUAAAUGGUAAUCAGUGCAGUUUAACCAGUUAUAAUUGCACUGACUUGUUUUUAUUUUAUUUGUAGUUAUUGUACGUUUUUAUUUGCGUUAUUGUCAUAUUGCUAAGAGUAUAUUUUUCCUUAUACAGUAAUUUGCUAAAUACAGAUAUGCUUUAUACUCUUGUGUAUAAUUCAUGUAUGCUGUAUUUUGAAAACUUAAUAAAUAUAUAAAAGAGAAAAACUUCUGUCGAUUACAUCGAGUUUUUUUCUUACACAGCAACAGUAUUAAUGUAUGCUAGGUCUAUUACGUAGUUAUACUGGGGAAUUGGAGACAGGCACGAUAUUAGUGUCUAUCAAUUUUUCAUUGCAGGUGUAAAAGCACACACCCACUCACUAAAGCUAUGUGAGUAUAUAUAGCAUCUAAUGUUUUAUUUAUUAGAGGACAAGUCCAAACACUUUGCACUGCUCAUUUCUGUGCAGAGUGUAAAAGGUGUCAUGGUUAACCAGCAUGCUGAUUGACCUGGAUGCCAUAGUCGACAUCAGCAACAUUUAUGAAAACCGAAACAUCUAUUGUACAUUUUCACGCUGGUGCAGUGUCAUGUGCUUAUGCUUGUGUGCUUAAAACAGAGUAGAAGUUUGACUUGGUGUCACUAAAUACUAUUUUUAGUUUCUGUAGAUUCACACUUUAUGAGAAUAAAGAGCGAGUUCGACGCUGUUAAGAGCCACGCUCACUUUGUGUCACAAAUAAUGUUUACAAAAAAAACAACAAAAAAAACAAGAAGAAAUGCAGCAUCAGAUAAAAAGGAGAGAAACAGAUAACAUGUCACGGUUUGGAUUUUCAAAAGUUCAUAAGGGUGAACACACCAAAGGAGAAAUCAUUCUUAUAAACUUGCUGUGGUACAAAUACAAGUUUUAAAUCCCAGUUCACUUUAAAAUCAAAAUGGAUGAACCAGCAUAAUGCUGUGUUGUUGUGUCUGGAGGUAGAUAGUCUCAUCAGAAAUAAAACUUAAUUUGUUAAUUUUCUAGGUGUAACCUUUUCACUUUGGCUCUUGAUCAAAAACUUUUGGAUUCUUUUUUUUAAUCUAUUGUUUUCUACUAGGAAGCGUUUGAGCAAAGCGAGGGCAAGUUAGGGGAAAGGAAGCUUCAGGCCUAAAAAGCAACCAGAUAAAUUUGAGUGUCUUCAGAUCAAACUGUGGUUCAUCAUUUAACACCAUCUUUAAAUAGCAACAACAACAAAAAAAAAACAAUUAAAGAACAAAAAAAAAAAAGAUUUCUUCUGAAAAUGGUCAGAUGAUUAAGUAAAACAAUAAAGGCAGCCAAAUUCUGAAAAACUGAUAAAAACACUUUGAAAGACUUCAAGUACAGGUUCUUGGAAGCUUCAUUUAAACAAAUGAGCGAUAACUCAACACUUUUCCAAUAACCCAACGGAAUUAAUAAUAGUUAACUCAAAUUCUACAAAUUAACACAAUAGCACUCAUUUUACCUUCAGAAUAUAAAUAAUGCUGAACCAGUGACAUUCUGGGAAGAAGAAAAAAAAACAUACAACUUAAAGAUUAAACAUAAAAAAACCCAUUUAAAAUAUGGAACUCAACAUACUUCCUCAGUGUAACUAACCCGAACAAAGCCUGCAGGAGGUGAUGUUGACUAAGUAUGAAACUUCCUAACACGCAGUCUCAAACUAAACUAUUAAUACAGCAAACACUUGUUUUCGAAAACAUCUGUACAAGGGAGCGUAGGUUGGUCAUUGUUUGUGUUUUUCAGUCACUGAAAUAGAUGAGUCCACCACAACUUUCAAAAACACAAUAAAGCCUUAAAGAUGUAAAAAAAUAAAAGAGAAAAAGGCUUUUCAGGCGAUUGGGUGAGUGACACAAGUCUUCCACACAUUUCAACUCAAGUAAAAACCAACAACUAAAACCUAAAAUGCUGAAUUUUAGAUUUUUAAAGGUUGGACUAGUUAAGGCUUUAUAUUUAACUAACAUUAAGGGGCUUUAAUUGCCCCUACUUACUGCUUUAAUUGCAUAGCAUACAUGCUCACUGCAUGUUAUGCAUACGGUGCUCCUCAAAAGUUUACAUACCCCUUCUAAAAUGUCAGGGAUUUUUUUAACAAAGUGGUGCCUUGGUCAUGCUGGAUUUGUUUUCCUCAUAUGGAACUGAGGAUUUUUUGGAUAAGGUCGUAAAUACUUCAAAACAAAGUUUGGGUUCAAAAACCCUUCAGUCGUCCACUAGAUGCUAAUUGAUGGUUUCAUUUUCCUGCAUCAUAGUGACUCCAAGUAUGCAUCUAAAAAUCAACAAAAUAACGACAUAGGAAAAUUCAGCUGUGAAAUGGAUAUUUCUCAAAGCAAAGAAAUAUCCAAAAAUGUCGUAAAAAUAGAUUUUACUGGUGUAGCGAAAAAGUUAUUCCACUGCAUUUCUCUACAAAAAACUUGCAUCAGCUCUAAAGACGAGACAUGGGGUUUUCUAUAUAAUUGUUUUCAAAUAUAAAAAUGGCACAUGAAAUGCUUUGCUCACUGGAAUCUGAAUCAGACCUAAACGUAGAGCUGCUUAUGAUGCACAACAGCAGUGGGAAGAAAAGUAACCAAAAGGGAACCCUAAUGUUGGCAGCUGAAGUACUAAAAUAAAUGUGUAGUGUUGGAAAACUAAGUCAAAUUAUUCACUGCAAAUUCUCAUGUUUUCACUAAAAACAAUAAAGUUCAGCUUAACUAGUAAAAAUAGUGUCCAUCAGUAUGGUAGUGGAAAACUGUUUACAUAAUGCAGUUCUGGUUCACUGACUUCCUUCUUAAAUAAACAACAUCCUUCAGUUAUUAAUGUGGAGUUGGAGGCCAAACCAAUCACAGGCUACAUUAGCACUUUAAGGCACAAAGUCAGGAUUCUCAGGUGACAGCCGUGAUGUCACAGUCAUAAAGAGGAUGUUUGACCCAGAGGGGAUGGAAAUCCUUUUUCUUUUUGGCGUGGGAUAGAGAGUGUUAGGAGGAAACAUACAUCAAUAAGGUUUAUUGAACUUAAAUAUCGGGCUUUUCUGUUCCUUGACAAUCAGGGUUACUUUGGCAACAAUAUCCUUGGCUUUGAUUUGAUGAUUGGAGGGCUAGUUCUGGUUAGUUCCCAUUUAAAUGCCAAGCGUCGAGCAGCUUAUCUGUUGAAGAAGCAGGAAG